CCUGGUUUCAUAUUUUGGCUUCUGAGAGAUUUCAUGUUCCCUCGAGGGUGGUGCCAGACCAAGGAAGUCAAAUUGCUCUCUGCUCAUCUACGGCAGUGCCAUGAACAUGACCCCACAAAAAAGCAGUCAACAUAAAGUCCACAGGUGGUCUCUCUGAACUCUGCUUCUCGCAGGCACCAGCUAUCUUCUCUGGUCACGACCCAGCUCCACACCCACGGCCCAGCUCCACAUGAC